rnacentral:rRNA from 1 species
CCUACGGGAGGCAGCAGUGAGGAAUAUUGGUCAAUGGACGGAAGUCUGAACCAGCCAUGCCGCGUGCAGGAAGACGGCUCUCUGAGUUUUAAACUGCUUUUGUACAAGGGUAAACCUGAAUACGUGUAUUCAGCUGAAAGUACUGUACGUAUAAGGAACGGCUAACUCCGUCCCAGCAGCGGCGGUACUACGGGGGAUCCAAGCGUUGUCCGGAUUAAUUGGGUUAAAAGGGUGCGUAGGGGAUUGAUAAGUUAGAGGUGAAAUGUCCGAGCUUAACUCGGGAACUGCAUCUAAUACUGGUGGUCUAGAGAGUAGAUGCGGUAGGCGGAAUGUAGGGUGUAGCGGUGAAAUGCUUAGAGAUCAGACAGAACACCGAUUGCGAAGGCAGCUUACCAAUCUAUAUCUGACGUUGAGGCACGAAAGCGUGGGGAGCAAACAGGAUUAGAUACCCUAGUAGUC